GAACAGUCGAUGCGCCAGAGCGAAAAAAAGCCCUUUUUUAUUAUCCCGGUCAGCUCAUUUUGUACAGAGGUGAAGAUGACGAUUCCGUGAAGAAGUAAUGGCUGACGUUGUCGAACAUUCAGACCCACUGGAGGCGUUCCACAGCCUGGAGCCCGCCGAUAAGGAAUUCGAUGUGACUUGACCGGACUUGCACCCGCAGCCUUUUGUCAGGUCUGUGACAGGCUGUCUGACUGCUGCAAGAUGUUUGUCAGAGCCUCACACCAUGACUAGGGGUCAUUGGUUCUUCACAAUCCCUACCUUGAAGAGGUAUUAUGGCCAGCCGUUACUCCCCGUUGAGAAAAGAUCCCUGCAAGCGUACUUGACUGGCUGUAUGCGCCUAAUACGUCUGCAAGCAGCAACUGAAGUGGGUGCUGCACAAUGUCAAUGGUCGAUGCACGUAAUCAUUACCCACAGCAGUGGUGUCGGUCAGUGGUGUAACUACCUUCCUCAACAAUCACCAGCUGCUGGCUUGUGACAGUUUUGACGAAAAUUAGUCGGUCUCUCUCAUUCCGUUAUCCCUUUGUCGACUCUGAGGAGAUGCUCGACAACCAUAUAAUUUGGUACUUCCCGUUUAGCCUAGUAUUUGCAGUAUUUGCUUCCUACACCAGCCACAGUGCUUUUAUUCCCACGUUCUUUUUUUCCGCUGGACGGUUUGGGAUUAUCUUUUGUGUUACAUUCUUUCGUUUUCUGUUACAUCCUUUUCCUGUUCUUGUGUGUUAACGUUUCAGUGGAAUGGUGCAAUGCAUUUCCAACCAAUACAGACAUUCUGGUCUAAAUUGGAUUCAACUGUACAGGUUUCCAAUGCUUAUGGCGUACUUCUGA